GUGUGGUAUGAAAGGAGAGAGGUUAGAACUUCCAUUGAGAAGGAUGGAAGAAGUCCUAGUGGCCUUUAAAACACACAUAUGGUUAAGGCAUUGCCACCUACUACAUGGCAUCUAACCAAAUUUUUAU